GGUCAAUCUGCUGCAUUAUCUCUUGACAGCUCUAAUCUCUUGAAGGGAGAAACCGCAGAGUACAUUCCUGUUGCAAGAAUGCCCGUCUGGAGUCACUCUAGAAAAAAAAUCGCUAGCUGGGCUAAAAGCAGGACAAUCCGUGGUCUAGCACCAGUUAACAGCCUGUCCUCAGGAAGCAGCAGCAGAAGAGGAGACUGCAGUUUCACACUUACUCACUUGGUCUUCCAGGCAUCUGCAAAUUCCUUCUCCUCCCUUUCCUUUUAAUGCAUUUUUUCCUGUCUCUCUGGGGCUCUUAGA